rnacentral:lncRNA from 1 species
AGUCUCCAAGCACAUUAAAAACAGCUGCUGCCUGGCUUCCUGUCUGUUUUCCCAGCCUAUGAGCCUGGUUCCCAGGCUGACUUCCAAGACUCUUCUCCUUAAGAAAAAAAAUGAAUGAACUAUUAGCAAGUGAUAUUUGGCCACUAGAUCUUCAGAACGAUCUUCAUGGGAGCUUACUGAAGCUGAAAGGAGUAUAACUUCCUAAUAGAAGAAAGAAGAGCUAAUUCCCUUCAUUUCUAUUGGAAGAGAAACCAGCUCAUGGUUUGUAUAGCUGCUGUCAUUUGACUGAUUUCAGCUGGGCUGAUCCGGGCAAGGCUGGACUUAAGCCAGAGCACUUUCAGAUGAAGAAAUACUUCAGUGCAUGCCGUGUGCAGCCUAGAAGAUACAUAUGCGAUUGUAGAUGAAGCUAACUGACCAGGCAACACCAGGAGGAGCACGAGGACC